UACAGAGGGGGCAAGCGUUGUUCGGAAUUACUGGGCGUAAAGGGCGCGUAGGCGGCCUUUUAAGUCGAACGUGAAAUCCCCGGGCUCAACCCAGGAACUGCGUCCGAGACUGGGAGGCUUGAAUCCGGGAGAGGGAUGCGGAAUUCCAGGUGUAGCGGUGAAAUGCGUAGAUAUCUGGAGGAACACCGGUGGCGAAGGCGGCAUCCUGGACCGGUAUUGACGCUGAGGCGCGAAAGCCAGGGGAGCAAACGGG
rnacentral:rRNA from 1 species